rnacentral:misc_RNA from 1 species
GCAAACUUGGUCAUUUAGAGGAAGUAAAAGUCGUAACAAGGUUUCCGUAGGUGAACCUGCGGAAGGAUCAUUAUUGAACAAAAUUCAAUAGACUGCUGCUGGUUCCUAUAUGGGGCAUGUGCACGUCUGUUUUAUUUUUAAUCUCCUGUGCACUAUUGGUAGAUCUUUGAUAAAAAGAAAAAAGGAAACAUCUAAUCGAUGCAAUUUCGGCCUGAGAAGCUUGUCGUGUUUUUUAAUAUAUGAAGUGCGACUUUUCUUGUGAUGUCUUUUUAUCCGAGGUUUUUACCACAUAUUUUAUUUCACCCAAGAAAAAAAAAAAAGUCGGAAUUAUUUUAAUGAAAACCAUAUGCAUAUAAUAACUUUCAACAACGGAUCUCUUGGCUCUUGCAUCGAUGAAGAACGCAGC